rnacentral:rRNA from 1 species
UGAACGCUGGCGGCAGGCCUAACACAUGCAAGUCGAGCGGAUGACGGGAGCUUGCUCCUUGAUUCAGCGGCGGACGGGUGAGUAAUGCCUAGGAAUCUGCCUGGUAGUGGGGGACAACGUUAUCGAAAGGAACGCUAAUACCGCAUACGUCCUACGGGAGAAAGCAGGGGACCUUCGGGCCUUGCGCCUAUCAGAUGAGCCUAGGUCGGAUUAGCUAGUUGGUGAGGUAAUGGCUCACCAAGGCGACGAUCCGUAACUGGUCUGAGAGGAUGAUCAGUCACACUGGAACUGAGACACGGUCCAGACUCCUACGGGAGGCAGCAGUGGGGAAUAUAUGGACAAUGGGCGAAAGCCUGAUCCAGCCAUGCCGCGUGUGUGAAGAAGGUCUUCGGAUUGUAAAGCACUUUAAGUUGGGAGGAAGGGCAGUAAGUUAAUACCUUGCUGUUUUGACGUUACCGACAGAAUAAGCACCGGCUAACUCUGUGCCAGCAGCCCGGGGUUA